rnacentral:rRNA from 1 species
CCCUGCCAUUUGUACACACCGCCCGUCGCUCCUACCGAUUGAGUGGUCCGGUGAAUCUUUCGGACUGUGGCGAGUCUCGGCUUUGCCGCGGAAAGUCAGGUAAACCUUAUCACUUAGAGGAAGGAGAAGUCGUA